rnacentral:misc_RNA from 1 species
GUGGUGCCGGGGAGGCGGUGGCGAUGCUGAGCGCCGAUGUGCAGAUGCGGCUGUAUGCGCUGCACAAGGUUGCUACGGAGGGGCCGUGCUACGAGCCGCAGCCGCUGGCUCUGAAUUUUGGUGCUCGGGCGAAAUGGCAUGCUUGGCAAAGUUUGGGAAACAUGAACCCGGAUGUGGCUAUGGAGCAUUACAUCUCUCUGCUUUCCGAGAGCAUUCCUGGGUGGAUGGAAG